rnacentral:rRNA from 1 species
GACGAACGCUGGCGGCGUGCCUAAUACAUGCAAGUCGAACAAACCGCGACUGAGUGCUUGCACUUGGUCAAGGUGAGUGGCGAACGGGUGAGUAACACGUGGGUAACCUACCUCAUAGUGGGGGAUAACAGUCGGAAACGACUGCUAAUACCGCAUAGGACAUAGGAUCACAUGAUCCAGUGAGGAAAGGUGGCGCAAGCUAUCGCUAAGAGAUGGACCCGCGGUGCAUUAGCUAGUUGGUAGGGUAAAGGCCUACUAAGGCGAUGAUGCAUAGCCGACCUGAGAGGGUGAUCGGCCACAUUGGGACUGAGACACGGCCCAAACUCCUACGGGAGGCAGCAGUAGGGAAUCUUCCGCAAUGGACGCAAGUCUGACGGAGCAACGCCGCGUGAGUGAAGAAGGUCUUCGGAUCGUAAAGCUCUGUUGUUAGAGAAGAACAGCGCAUAGAGUAACUGCUAUGCGUGUGACGGUAUCUAACCAGAAAGCCACGGCUAACUACGUG